ensembl:lncRNA
CCUCAUUAGUUCAGCUCAGCUCCUUCAGCUUUGUUGUGGCAGGGAAAGUGUAAAAAUACAGUCUGAUAAAUGCUGUUUCUUUGAACGAAUAUUUUGCCAUUAGACUCAGAACCCUGACCAGACACACGUGCUAUCAAUUCUAGUGUUUUUCCUUUCGGAGAACUUAAAGAUCAGCAUCGUCAACGAUGUGUUUCACUGUCUGAGGAUCGGAAGAAUCAAUCCACAGUGCUGACAAUCUCCACAGGAACACUACACCCUGAUCGUCGAUUUCGCUUUUGGGGGACGUAUGCAGACAAGCCCCCUGACCCCCACGGCUGCCCUCGACCGCCUCGCCCCAUCCGACCCUCCCCCUCC